AACGUAGGACACAAGCGUUAUCCGGAGUUACUGGGCGUAAAGGGCGUUUAGGCGGGUGAUUAAGUUCGCUAUGAAAGCGCCAGGCUAAACCUGGCGAGGCUGGCGGAUACUGGUCAUCUGGAGUGAGGAAGAGGAAGGUAGAAUUCCGCGUGUAGUGGUGAAAUGCGUAGAGAUGCGGAGGAAUACCAGUGGCGAAGGCGCACAUCUGGCCCGAUACUGACGCUGAGGCGCGAAAGCUAGGGGAGCAAACGGG
rnacentral:rRNA from 1 species